UUUCCGUAGGUGAACCUGCGGAAGGAUCAUUAUUGAAUAGACCUGAUGUGGUUGUAGCUGGCCCUUUCGGGAGCAUGUGCACACCCGUCGUCUUUAUCUUUCCACCUGUGCACCUUUUGUAGACCUGGAUGUAACACUUUCCGAGGCAACUCGGUCGGGAGGAAUGCUGUCAGCUUUCCUUGAAUGUCCAGGCCUAUGUUUUCAUAUACCCCAAAGAAUGUAACAGAAUGUAUUAUUGGGCCUUGUGCCUAUAAACUAUAUACAACUUUCAGCAACGGAUCUCUUGGCUCUC
rnacentral:misc_RNA from 1 species